AUUGAACGCUGGCGGCAGGCCUAACACAUGCAAGUCGAACGAGUGGCGGACGGGUGAGUAAUGUCUGGGAAACUUCCUGAUGGAGGGGGAUAACUACUGGAAAAGGUAGCUAAUACCGCAUACCCUCAGAUUUGCCCAGAUGGGAUUAGCUAGUUGGGGGGGUAACGGCUCACCAGGGCGAGGAUCCCUAGCUGGUCUGAGAGGAAGACCGGCAACACUGGAACUGAGAAACGGGCCAGCCUCCUACGGGAGGCAGCAGUGGGGAAUAUUGGACAAUGGGCGCAAGCCUGAGGCAGCCAUGCCGCGUGUAUGAAGAAGGCCUUCGGGUUGUAAAGUACUUUAAGCGGGGAGGCGUUACCCGCAGAAGAAGCACCGGCUAACUACGUGCCAGCAGCCGCGGUAAUAC
rnacentral:rRNA from 1 species